ACAAGUACACGUGAAAGCCGAAGUACUUUCUCCUAGAUCCUCCCAAACUACUACCGCGAAAAUAGAAUCUAGGGUUUCUCUUCCUUCCUGCAUUAGGACUAUAUAUAGUAGUAGUAUAUCAUUCUCUCUCUCUCUCUUACUUCAGAUUACAGAAGCUAGGAGCUUCCUGCCUCCGCAGCCCACACGAGAGAGAAGAGGCAUCUUUCAGCAGGGGUAUGGGUUUCGAGAUGAACGCUGCGCUGAUGGAGAAAGGGGCUGCUGCAGAAUUCGUUAAACCUGGUUCGAUUCAAUACCCUGUAAUUUCUUGGAUUCUGCCAUUUUUUUUCAUAGUUUUUUCAUUGUGAUUUGUUCAGAAGUAAGCAAAACUACUGCAAUCAUUUCUGAAUACCAUGCUUUGUUUGGCUUGUCUAAAAAAGACGGCUUUUUGGAAUGGAAAAGAAAAUUUAGCCAAAAAAUUAUCAUAAGAUAGCUCAAAGAAUUAGGGGAAAAACAGCUAAACUCUUCAUCUUUACGAAGCCCGUACAGAUCUUGAUUUGUUUAUUAAUUUGGCAGAGGAGAAAAUUCAGUGCUCCUCCAGCUGUUAGACAGAGUAUAAGGUUCAUGCGAUUGAACACUUUCGGGCUCAAUUUUGUUGCCCUUUUCCAUUUCCCUUCUUUUUCCUCCAAAAAAAAUGUGAAAUCGCUGAUUGCAUUACGAAACCUUGAUAGUUAUAGGUAUGUUAAGGAUAACAUCUGUAAUGCGUUUGGGCUUUAUUUUCUAGUGAAUUAUCUAUACCAACUGUAACCACAGUUUCCUGAUAAGUUAGUUGAGAAGUUUAUUAUCUCGACUUUGAGCCUCUAAAUUCAAUUGGAGUCCUAUGAAGAGGUCAAUAACUUAGACAUCUCGGAAUUGCAUAGUUAUAAUAUCUCAUCAAUGUUGGGUAGGACUAGAAAUUGUGAAAGGAAGUUAUGAGUUGAGUAGUUCUAUUCGACAUAAAGAGGGAGUAUCUGAAAAUAAAAUCAAGGUCAUAAUUUUUGUGGUAAUUAUUCCAUAAGGAUGUGUAGCGUGUGGAAAGCUAGGUUCAGAUUUUGAAUGCCUUUGUUUGAAGCUGAGGUUGCCUUUUCAGAGUUCAAGUUCAUUGAUUGAUGACUGAAUGAUGAACAUGUUGUUCUCGCACCUCAAUUUAAGAAAGCGUGGCAAUAUUGCCAUUGGCUUAUUAGUGGUGUUAAACAUACUGAUAAGAUCAUAGUUGCAGCAGUUCUAGUUGUUUGGUUACACUAUUUUACCUUCUACUUUAUCCUGUUUUCCGAAAAAAUCUUGUGGAAGGUGGGUUGAUUUGAAGUCCUGGCAUGAAUAAUUGGUUGAAUCUCAUUCACAUUUUAUGUUCUUAUUAUUCCAUGUAUUGCAGAUGUGGACAUAGUUCGUCCGUUAAAUUUCUGUUGGAGUAUUUCUAGAGUGUAAAAUUUGCAAACCACAAGAGUGAAAGAAAACUAUUAUCGAUACACGCAAAAAAACACACACAUGACUACAUGAGAAUAUAGAGGCUACCUCUGGAAUUAUUUGCCUUUCAAUGACAUUAUAAAGACUAUAAAUUUGACAGAACUCAUCUUCUACGUUUAGUAGAAUAACAAUACUAGGAAAGAAGUUCUAGUAAGAUAUGCUACCAAGUCAGUAACCUGGCAAGACAAUAUUUGAACUCAAAAACAUAUAGAUGGAGAUAGAUAGCCAGGUAACUAAUUCUAUAACGGGGACAAUCUAUUUGGCGAGUCAUUAAAUAGCUGCAACUUUAGUCUAUAGAAUCUGCCAGGUUCUUCACUUUAGUAAAAACCCUCAAGAAAAUCCCAUAAUUUGUGCUUCUUUCCUCCAUACUCACCUUUUCUAAAAUUGCUUGACUGAGGUGAUGCUUACAGUAGGCUCCCGUCGCUUCCAACGCCCUCAAGAGCUUGAUGAAAAGCUGCGUCAUUCCCUUGCUCUCAUCCAUGUGCUCUUUAUAGUUCAUGAGAAUUGCAUGAGCCCUCUGCCUAAAGUGCCCCGCCACAAAGUCUUCAAAGUCCCUUGGCGGCCUCUCAAGGGUUCGAACAAUUGCCUCAGAGCUAAAUAUGAUAGCAUUCCUGUUAUAUUCCCGUUUCUCCGAUUCCAUGAAAUAAGGUUUGAAAUUCAAAGCCAGGCAUUGAAUCGCAAUAAGUACUUGGAGAAGGUUGGAUUGGUUAGGAUCCCAACGCUCUCCAGUCUCCAGAAGGCUUAAAAAGCGCUUUCCAUCCGGUUGCAAACUAGGGUGGUUCAAAUCAAGUCCCUGAGAUUGGCAAAAGGGUUUCGGUGGGCAAGUUGAGUAAUUGCUUGGGAAGAGGAUGUCAAAGAAGAAGAGAGCGUGGUAAUAAGGGGUUUUGGGCCUAUUAUGACUGCUCUCAUUAGAUCAGUUCUGUUUUCGUAAGCUCUGACGAGGAUCGAAUUGGGUAGAUUGGCCUCCAGAAUUACACAUUCUUCUUGAUGCUUUUCAGUUAGGCGGCUACUGAUUCCAAGGGCUGAAUGCUUGUUUAUGGGCUUCUUGUCGAAUUGGUGAUUGGAUGGAGGGCCACUAAUGAUGUCAUAUUUCUUGUCGAUUUCGUCUUGGAUCUCUUCAAUCUCUCCGUAUGAGGGGUUUGCUUCUAACCCAUUCACUUCCAUUGCAGUUCUUCUAACUUGCUUGAUCUCUUGAUAUUCUGUAUGGUAUGUCGAAUAAAUUUACAAGGGGUGUUUGAUCUGGGCCAGAUUUCAAUAAUAGUUUGAGUUGGAGCAGGAGCAGGAGCAGGAGUCUAGUAUGAUUCAGUUAUCCAUUUGAUUAAUCCAAAUAAGGAUAUCUGAUGCAAAUUGCAUAGACUAGCUUUCCUACUCGGUGCCUCUUACAUGUUCACCCUAGGUAUCAUCCUACUACUUUUCUUUUAGGGGAUCUUUUUGGUUGUGUAAUCCAUCAAUGGAAAGGAAAGUUUUUGGAAUAUCCCCAAUGGGUUCCUAAAAUGGCUCGCUCCCGAAUGAGGCUCCUAAUUUAUUUAUAUUAAACCCUUUGUUGAAUUUUGGCCUCCAAUGAUUUGAGUUGGAGCAGUACAAGUACUAGAAGUCUAAUACGAUUCAAUCAAUUAACC